rnacentral:rRNA from 1 species
GAUGAACGCUGGCGGCGUGCCUAAUACAUGCAAGUCGAGCGAACAGACGAGGAUCUUGCUCCUCUGACGUUAGCGGCGGACGGGUGAGUAACACGUGGAUAACCUACCUAUAAGACUGGGAUAACUUCGUGAAACCGGAGCUAAUACCGGAUAAUAUAUUGAACCGCAUGGUUCAAUAGUGAAAGACGGUUUUGCUGUCACUUAUAGAUGGAUCCGCGCCGCAUUAGCUAGUUGGUAAGGUAACGGCUUACCAAGGCAACGAUGCGUAGCCGACCUGAGAGGGUCAUCGGCCAGCCGGGCAGUGAGACACGGUCCAGACUCCUAGGGGAGGCAGCAGUAGGGAAUCUUCCGCAAUGGGCGAAAGCCUGACGGAGCAACGCCGCGUGAGUGAUGAAGGUCUUCGGAUCGUAAAACUCUGUUAUUAGGGAAGAACAAAUGUGUAAGUAACUAUGCACGUCUUGACGGUACCUAAUCAGAAAGCCACGGCUAACUUCGUG